rnacentral:rRNA from 1 species
CGGAGGGUCCAAGCGUUAUUCGGAAUUACUGGGGCGUAAAGCGCAUGUAGGUGGUUUACUAAGUCAGAUGUGAAAGCCCUGGACUCAAUCCAGGAAGUGCAUUUGAUACUGGUAGACUAGAGUGCAGGAGAGGAAAGCGGAAUUCCAGGUGUAGAGGUGAAAUUCGUAGAUAUCUGGAGGAACAACAGAGGCGAAGGCGGCUUUCUGGACUGCAACUGACACUGAGAUGCGAAAGCGUGGGGAGCAAACAGGAUU